rnacentral:lncRNA from 1 species
CCCCCCCCCCUUUUUUUCUUUCCCCUUUCCGUGGCCGGAGUCCAAACGAAGAGAAAGAGAGAGAGUUUCAGCACCAAGGAAAGAAAAUAAAAAAGGCGGAAAAAAAAAGAAAAAAAAAGGACGCGGCUGACGCUUUAAAAAAAUAAAAAUAAAAUAAGAGCAGGUAGGUCGCUAGAUCGUCUUUUUAAAAGGAGGGGAAAGCUCGAGGGACUCUCCUUCCCCAAGUUCUGCAAAGGGGAGAAAGAAAGAUAAAGAAAAUAAUAAUAAUAACAACCCCUCGACUCCCCAGCUUCAACGACAAGAUGAAAAAAUAUUUUAAAAGAGAUGAACCGGGAGGACAGUUUAAAAGCAUUGCUGAGUUUUAUAGCGUGCCUGACGUCACACUCCUGUCGGGAUUCGACUCCAAUCCGCGGCCGCGAAUCCGGCUCCUCAUUAGCAUAAUAGUAUAGAAACAAGGAAACUUUUCAAAGCUGUCAAUCAGGAGCCAAUCAGCUGACUGUCAGCUGGGACCAAAACUUUUUAACUCUUUCUUAACCGAAAGCGCCGUCUCGGACUCAUUAGGAAGGGAAGGGGGGAAAAAAAAGAGAGAGAGAUGGGGGGAAAGGGGGGGGAGAGAAAAGAGAAGAGAGAGAGAUCCCGAAAGCCAUUAAACCGGCAAAAUACUCCGCUAGUAUUCUCAAUUGUCCCGAAAGAAAAUGCGAUAACUAAUAGAGCCUUAAAAUUUCAUCAAGCAACUGAAUGGAUACCAACUAAAGGAUUUACCAGCCAAAGAUUCCAUUUUAGCACAUUGUUUUCUUUCCUAUUAGGACUAAAUAUAAGGAACAUAACAUGAACAGAUCCAACUGGAAUGAUUCACAGGCUUUUAUCUUCCUGGUCACCUGUUUGGGGAACAAUGGAACGAUCCGGAGAUCAUCGUCUUCAUGAGCUUCGGAUGGGAAGUGGCAGCUUUGCAGUCAAUAGCACUUCCUCCCAGGUGGAAGAGUUCUGGAAUUGUUUUCAUGACUGCAUCCACGAGGUUGGCUGGUUCCCUGCGGAAAUGUGUGUGAGUAACAUAUAAAGGUGGGCCAGCAGAAGACUACCGAGAACUUGACCCAAGUCCAUGCAUGAAAGGAGGCUCUGCUGUGCGGGCCAGAGAUUAUGUCAUGUGCUUUUGUCAUGGCAUCAUUUUUGGGCCGAGGAUGGGUCUGCAGAACUUUUUUAUUUUAAUUGGGCAAUUUAACUGGAAGCCUAAAGUGAUUUUUGUCCUUCGUUUCUCAUAGGAAAUUGUGCUUCUGAUGUCUGGCCAUUUGCUACUGAAUUCUGAUGGUACAUUUGUAGGGAUCUACAGUGAGCCUCUCAAAGCAGCUUAAACCAUUCUAGAAUGCCCAACCUGAUUUAGAAGACAGUUAGAAAUCUCUCUCUGUGUAUUUUUUAAUUCCAGCAGUUGUUAAAAUCCACACAUCAAGAAGAAACUGAGGCAGGAAGAGAAGCAGACUGCCCAAACCUUGCUAAAAGCAUCUUGAAGUAAAGAAAUCCCUUAGGGAGUAUGACAGGAGGGUAACGUACAAGUAUAGAAAAUAUAUUUUGGGUUCCACAUUUGUCUGACUAUCUCUCUUGUGCAUAGAGUUAAAUGGAUUUAAGAACAAAUCUUGCUGUUGCUGAAGUACCCACUUUAUUCCUAAAAAACUCUGAGCCAAUACUCUGGUUGGAUCUAUCACCUUUGACUUUUGAAUUGCUGCCUCCAACAUGCCACACAAAGCCUCCACGCCAGCAGAAAUAAUUCCCCUCUGCCUUACAGAGGAUGUCCUCAACUUACAACCACAAUUGGAACCCAAAUUUUCAUCGCUAAGCCAGGCGGUUGUUGGAGGUUGGAGUCAUCUCCAAUUUUGUGACCCUUUUUUGCCACAGUUAAAUGGUUCACAGCAACUGAUUCAUGCAGUCAUUAAGUGAAUCCAUCUUCCCCAAUUGAUUUCACUUAUGGGAAGAUUGCCAAGGGCAAUUAUAUGACCCUAGGAAGCUGCAACUGUUGUAAAUUCAUAUUGGUUGCCAAGCACCCAAAUUUUGUUCAUGUAACCAUGGGGUAUUCUCCAAUGGUCGUAAAUGCAAGGACUGGCUAUAAGUCACUUUUUUUCAAUGUUGUUGUAUCUUCAGAUGGUUGCUAAAUAAAUGGUUGCAAGUUGAGGGCCA